UACGGAGGGUGCAAGCGUUAUCCGGAUUCACUGGGUUUAAAGGGUGCGUAGGUGGGUUGGGAAGUCAGUGGUGAAAUCUCCGGGCUUAACUCGGAAACUGCCGUUGAUACUAUCAAUCUUGAAUAUCGCGUAGGUAAGCGGAAUAUGUCAUGUAGCGGUGAAAAGCUUAGAUAUGACAUAGAACACCAAUUGCGAAGGCAGCUUACUUCACGAUCAUUGACACUGAGGCACGAAAGCGUGGGGAGCAAACAGG
rnacentral:rRNA from 1 species